UUACGAAGGAGCCGUUGGUAUAGCUUGC
rnacentral:sRNA from 1 species